GGACAAAUCUGAAUCAGUGUUCUGUCUUUAUACAUCCCUAUACCAGUAGGUGACGCGAAUAAGUGACUUUUCGUGUAUUAUGAGUGAGUUCGAUCAUUCACAAACGAUUCGUUCAAACACUGAUUCAUUCAGAAACGCCACAAACAUGUGUUGCUCGAGGAAAGGCGAUGGAUGAUUCUGAUGUGGUUCCAGAUAAAUGUUGUGUACAAAAUGUACGAUCUGGCUCUUUCUUUGACAAUAAUAUCCAAAGACAUCCACCGUGCAGGAGCAGAAAUGAAGUCAGUCUUCACUGAAAUUCCAUGCCGUAAUCGUCCCGUUCCUCAGAAGCCAAAGAAUUCAGACGGCAAAGCAGAUGAGUGAUUGUUUCGGAUAUACUCUCAACUAACACAACUGUGCCAGGAUUAUGGGCCUCUUUUAAGUUCUCAAGCGUCAGCUGUGUAUUGACCUUCAGCACAACAGGAAACCCCCAGAGUGCCAUGAACCAGAAAGCCAGAGUCCUUAGCUGGAAAGCACAUAAAGGGAUAGUUAACCCAAAAUUAAAUGAAAAAUUCUGUCAUUAUUUACUCACCAAAAUGCUUUCUUUUCUCUGUAGAAAACAACAUUUGAAUGUCUCAGCAGCUUUCUUCCAUACAGCUCCUUCUCAAAUUCAAACUCCUCAAAAAGAGCAAAAAAGCUCCAUAAAAUUACAGAAAAUCUUGCUUGACAGCGAUGGUCACCAUUUGCUUUUCUUCUAUGGAGCAACUUAUAAAUUAAUAGAACUUUUUGUGUGUGUGUGUGUUCCACAGAAGAAAUGUUUUUAUAUGACAAAGAAAUUUUUUAUAUGACAAGACAUGAGGAUCAAUAAAUAAUGACAGAGUUUUGUAUUUUUCUGUGAUCCGUCCCUCAGACUUAGUGGUUUAGAAUGAAGAAUCUUGUUGUUUGCUAUUGUAGUUUGCAUGAACAUUGCAAUAAAUCUUUUAACUUUAGAGGUACGCAGGCCAUUUUAGACUCUUUUGGGAUGUGCAGAAUGGCCGUGAAAUUAAUCCCUGGUCCUCCUAGUAUAAAACACAUGCUUGACAAGUGGAUUACUACCAACAGAUGGCAUUGGACUAGUCUUGCUCCCAAACAUCAAGAAUUUAGCAAGCAUAGACUGGUCCCUAAUUUGAAUAAAAGGAAUAAUAACAAAAUAUGGCUAGAAGAGGCUAAAGCUUGUUCAGUUAGCCCUUUGUGGAGCUAAUUACAAAAAAAAAAUAACUCAUUUAUGCUCCCUGACCCAUUCACUUUUACAGACGGGUAGCAAAGAAUGAACUAGAUGAAGUGCAAUUGAGUGGAACAGAAUGCAGGAUUCCCGGGGUGUGCUUUAAAUGUUUAUUUUUUAGCUCUUUUUAAUUUGACAGUCUCCUAGAGGAAAAAAAGAAAAUUGGCCAAAGUCAUCCAUUUAGUGCAUGUUUACAUAGUUUAUGAAACAGCUUUUAUUUAUGCACAUAUCAUAGAGCACAUAUCAAGCAGACAAUGUAAAGAUCCACCAUCAAAAUUUAAGAAUUUUUAGUCUAGUAGCAUUUACAGUAUUUAUUUAAAUAUCUUUAAAAACUUUUUUCCAAAAUUAUUAUAGCACUGUGGCCCACAAAUGCUAGUAUAUUCCCAUUUCAUAGUUUUGUUGCAUCUUAACAACUGGAUGUCAUUAAUUUUCAAUGAGACACCUGUGCCAGGGACCGUUUUAAGUAGAAACAUUAUGCAAAUGAGGAGCAGAAAGAUUCACUGACUAACUAUAUUUUGAUGCAGCUGGAUACCACAUCUCAAUAGUACUGCCUACUAGAGACAAACAUCUUGUUAACUCCAGCAUUUCAUUCACUGUUAAGGUCUUUGCAAACUGAG